UACGUAGGCAGCGAGCGUUGUUCGGAGUUACUGGGCGUAAAGGGUGUGUAGGCGGUUGUUUAAGUUUGGUGUGAAAUCUCCCGGCUCAACUGGGAGGUGCGCCGAAUACUGAAUGACUUGGAGUGCGGGAGAGGAAAGUGGAAUUCCUGGUGUAGCGGUGAAAUGCGUAGAUAUCAGGAAGAACACCCGUGGCGAAGGCGGCUCUCUGGUACGUGACUGACGCUGAGACGCGAAAGCGUGGGGAGCAAACAGG
rnacentral:rRNA from 1 species